UACGAAGGGGGCUAGCGUUGCUCGGAAUCACUGGGCGUAAAGCGCACGUAGGCGGAUUGCUAAGUCAGGGGUGAAAUCCUGGAGCUCAACUCCAGAACUGCCCUUGAUACUGGCGACCUCGAGUCCGGGAGAGGUGAGUGGAACUGCGAGUGUAGAGGUGAAAUUCGUAGAUAUCGGGAGGAACACCUGUGGCGAAAGCGGCGCACUGGACCAUAACUGACGCUGAGGCGCGAAAGCUAGGGGAGCAAACAG
rnacentral:rRNA from 1 species